ensembl:lncRNA
UAUAGCUUGGCAUGGUGUCACAAAGGUGUUGUGUCCCCAUCACUGGUUUUCACAGGUUUAGCAGUGCAACAUCAGCACAACAUGGUUGCCACUGUUCAUGUUGUUGACUUCUAGACCAGUUAUUAACUAUUGUAAGUGUAAUUGGUACAAAAAAUAGUUUGCUAAUCCCAUAACAGCACCCAGAAAGAACGGAUGUGUUCCUGCAAGACUUUAUAGAAUCACAGAAUAUCCUCAGUUGGAAGGGACCCACGAGGAUCAUUGAGUCCAGCUCCCAGCUCCACACAGGACCACUCAAAAUCCAAACCCCAUCUCUGAGAGCGCUGUCCAAACACUCCUUGAACUCCGGCACUUGGGCACUCUGACACCUACCUGGCAGAAAGCCACGUCCUCUGUGUCCCCUGUGGCCUCUUCAACUGCAGGAACCAACCCACCCUGCUUUUGGGCUGCAGAGUGUGCCCUAGCUCCCUACCAGUGUCUGUUGUCAGCAGGGAGCACAACCGUGGGAGAUGUGCCCUGGGAGAAGAACUGCUCAGCCCGGAGACAGAGCUCCAGGGAGGAGGUAGGUAGGCUGAGGCGCAUCAGGAAAUUGUAAUGAAUCAACUGCUGGGAUUGUGCUCUACCAUCCCUGAGACAGAUGUGUCAGCUGUUUACAACACAAGAAACAAAGGAUCCCCUACUCUCUGCUUCUAGACAGCAGGGGACCUAAGAGACAGAGGGGAAUGAAAGCAGACAUCUGCCCAGGGCAGCAGGGAAAUCCCCUCCAUACCUACCUCACCCUCCAAGGUGUCUUUAUACAAGGUACAAGGAUGUGGAACUUGAUAGAUGAGCAAACAAUCAUAUGAAUGAAGGUCCAUCCAGGUUGGAAGGGUCACAUAGGGUUAGUCAGACUGUCCUCCAUACCAUGGCUACCUCUGUCAAGAAAAAAAAGAAGAGUUGUGGUCAUGGCCGACUCCAUUCCGAGGGAAACAGAGUAAGAGACGUUACUGAAAAGCUCACUACCAUGGUAUGACCCUCUGAUUAUUAUCCAUUAUCUGGAGAGGUCCCAGUCAAUUGGAAGCCAGUAAAUGUUGUCCUACUUUUCAAGAAUGGCAAGAAGAAAAUCUCCGGCAAUUACAUGCCUUUUGGUCUCGCUUUGUUGCCUGGAAAAUUGUAAGAUUAUUCUGGGAGUUACUGAAAAACACCUGAAAACAAUGAAGUCAUUGGUCACAGCCAACGUGUUCACAAGGGGAAUGUCCUGUUCUUAAUCUCCUUUUAUGACGGUGCUACCCACUUAAUUGACCAAGGGAAGCCCAUUAGUAUACUACUUUUGGAUUUCAGCAAACCUUUUAUACUGUUUGUCACAGCAUCCUUCUGGAAAAAUCGUUCAGCGGACAAUUAGACAAAAACAGAAUGCGAUGGGUGAACAAUUGGCUGACAGGUCGGGCUCAGAGGGCUAUAGUAAGUGAGCUUACAUCAGGCUGGUGGCCAGUCGCUUGCAGGGCUCCAUUUCAGGGCCAGAUCCCUUUAAUUUUUUUCUGAAAUGACCUGGACACAGGCCUCCAACAUAUACUGAGUAAGUCUGUGGACAGCACUAAACUGGGAGGAGCUGUUAACUCCCUCAGGAAUGAAGAAGCCUUGCAGAGAGAUCCUGACAAAUUGGAGAGCUGGGCAAACAGCUCUGUAACUCUCAAGGAGUUUCAAGGAGCGUUUGGACAACACUCUCAGACACAGUUUGAUUUUCGUGCUGUCCUGUGUGGAGGCAGGACUUAGAGUCAAUGAUCCAUGUGGGUCCCUUCCACUUGGGAUAUUCUGUGAAUGCAGUGAACAAAGGUGACUAAGGAGAGGUAGAAUUAAUUAAACAGGUAAGAUUGAUGUUCUCCUUCUUGCCAUGGCAAUAAACCAUCUGGCAGAA